rnacentral:sRNA from 1 species
GUCAAUAACCCCACCUGAUUCAAAGAAUCAGAUGGGGCUUGUGAAAGAAAAGCAAUUUUCUUACAUAAGCCCGAUUGACUAGCCUAAGUGCUUCGAGCACUACGUUAUGCAGUGACGCAUAAGCGACUUACCUGUGAAUGCUCCACAAGUUCACAGCUCUA